AGCAGCCGCGGUAGUUCCAGCUCCAAUAGCGUAUAUUAAAGUUGUUGCAGUUAAAAAGCUCGUAGUUGAAUUUCGGGAUCAGUACGCUGGUCGUGCCUUCGGUAUGCACUGGUGUCACUGGUUUCUCCCUUCUGAAGAACCAUCAUGCCAUUCAGUUGGUGUGGCGGGAAAUCAGGACUGUUACUUUGAAAAAAUUGAGUGUUUAAAGCAGGCUCGCGCUUGAAUACAUUAGCAUGGAAUAUGAAAUAGGACGUUUGACCCUAUUUUCGUUGGUUUUCUAGGGAUCGCGUAAUGAGUUAAUAGGGAUAGUUGGGGGCUAUUGGUAUUCAAUUUGUAC
rnacentral:rRNA from 1 species